GGCAGCCGCGGUAAUUCCAGCUCCAAUAGCGUAUAUUGAAGUUGUUGCAGUUAAAAAGCUCGUAGUUGAAUUUCGGGAUCAAUGUUUCGGUCAUGCCCUUGGUAUGUACUGAUAUUAUUGGUUUCUCACCUUCUAAAGAACCGUAAUGCCAUUAAUUUGGUGUCACGGGGAAUUAGGACUGUUACCUUGAAAAAAUUAGAGUGUUUAAAGCAGGCUCACGCUUGAAUACAUUAGCAUGGAAUAAUGAAAUAGGACAUCCGAUUCUAUUUUGUUGGUUUCUAGGAUCGAUGUAAUGAUUAAUAGGGAUAGUUGGGGGCAUUAGUAUUCAAUUGUCAGAGGUGAAAUUCUUGGAUUUAUUGAAGACUAACUACUGCGAAAGCAUUUGCCAAGGAUGUUUUCAUUAAUCAAGAACGAAAGUUAGGGGACCGAAGACGAUCAGAUACCGUCGUAGUCUUAACCAUAAACUAUGCCGACUAGGGAUCGGAUGAUGUUAAUUUUUUAAUGACUCA
rnacentral:rRNA from 1 species